AUGAACGCUGGCGGCAGGCCUAACACAUGCAAGUCGAACGGAGUUAUAUUGUAGCUUGCUAUGGUAUAACUUAGUGGCAGACGGGUGAGUAAUGUAUAGGAAUCUACCUAGUAGUACGGAAUAAUUGUUGGAAACGGCAACUAAUACCGUAUACGCCCUACGGGGGAAAAAUUUAUUGCUAUUAGAUGAGCCUAUAUUAGAUUAGCUAGUUGGUGGAGUAAUAGCCUACCAAGGCAAUGAUCUAUAGCUGAUCUGAGAGGAUGAUCAGCCACACUGGAACUGAGAUACGGUCCAGACUCCUACGGGAGGCAGCAGUGGGGAAUAUUGGACAAUGGGCGAGAGCCUGAUCCAGCCAUGCCGCAUGAGUGAAGAAGGCCUUUGGGUUGUAAAGCUCUUUUAGUGAGGAAGAUAAUGACGGUACUCACAGAAGAAGUCCUGGCUAACUCCGUGCCAGCAGCCGCGGUAAUACGGAGAGGGCUAGCGUUAUUCGGAAUUAUUGGGCGUAAAGGGCGCGUAGGCGGAUUAGUAAGUUAAAAGUGAAAUCCCAAGGCUCAACCUUGGAAUUGCUUUUAAAACUGCUAAUCUAGAGAUUGAGAGAGGAUAGANGGA
rnacentral:rRNA from 1 species